AAGUUAUGGCGAACAAGGAAGAGAAAGAAAAUAUUAGGGUAUCGAAAGAUAUUCAUGUAACUGUCCAAACCUGUUUUGAAUGACAACUAAGCAAAGGCUGGUAUAAUGGAAUCCGCAAAGUUAUUCUGCAGGAGGCACCAGGAGCCAGAGUUGAAGCUUUCUCAGGAUGACAAAGUUUGUUUGAGGUCUCUGUCAAUGGCAAGCUUAUUUUCUCCAAGGCAAAACUUGGAAGUUAUCCAAGGAAAAAUGAUAUAAGAAAAGCCAUAGAACAAGUAAACAACGGAGAAGAACCAGACGAGAUAAGCACCACUGCUAGCAGUAUACACUGUACUGUACUAUAAAGGACUGUUAAUCCUCUGUGUCUGCUGGCACUGAAACAAAGCCUUGUUUGUUAAUCAUAAAAUAUUUCUGUUGAUUUACUGGAGUAAAAUAUUAGUAUCUUAACUAGACUGGUGAUGUUGAUUUUUACAAGGGUGUUUUGAACUCUUGUGAAAGCAGUAAGAAUUCUGAAUAUUUUUGAGAUUCUAGUUUUCUGUAAAAGGUUUUAUUUCUUUCAUAAGUUUAAACAAGCAAUAGAACCAUUGUUAUAAACACCUAUGUCUUCCAUGAAUUAGAGUUUUUCAUCAAUUUAAGAACCCAUAUUUUUCCUAAAACGUAUUACAUUCAAAAUAAAGCCAUCUCUACACUACCAACCAAUGUACAGUUGUUGAAACUGGUUAGGAGACAUAUUGUGUAUCUACAAUCUAGUUAUAUACAAGUCCAAUUUCAAGUCAUUGAUUUAGAUUUUCAAGGCUUUUUAUCAUAAUAAUGUAAGAUCAUUUCAAGGGCACCUGUGUUUUAAAAUUUGUUUUCAGUCUUGAUUAUUAUGAAAAAUUCAAUUAAAACUCAAUUUAAAGUUGGUCAAACAAAAUCUAGAAUCAAAAACUGAAUUCCUUGCAUGAAUUUUAUUAUCAGUUUACUCGUUCAAGAAAACUUGCAAUAAGUAAUAAUUCCAUAUAGUUCAUACUCUUAUUUAUAUUAUACCUAAAUACCAUGAUUCGAAAACUGAAAUAUGAAGGAGGGCUUAUUUAUAGCCCUAAAUACCAUGAUUCGAAAACUGAAAUAUGAAGGAGGGCUUAUUUGUAAAAUGCUUUUAGCUUACUAUUUUAAGAUUAAUGAUUCUGCAAAAAUGAAGAAGGGGGCAGAUAGAUGUGGAUGAAUAUGGUCUUAUAGGAUGUGGGAGGCAUCAGUUUCUAGCAACUUGUUUUGGUUUACAUGUUUUUUAAUCAAAAAAGCAUUCUGUGAUGUACAUUUUUUAUAUCAUUAAAACAUUUUGGUAUGAAUCUUUCUAACAGAGUUUGCUCUGUCUCAUGGCAUACUAAAUCUAUGCAAAUAUUUUCAAAGACAUAUUUGUAUAAAUUAUUAUUUUUAUUUAUGACAAAAUUUCUAUAUUUCCAUUCCAUUGUAUAUUUAUAAACAUGACUGAAUAAUCAUACACAGAGAAAUGAUGACUGCCACUAAAACAGUAAGGAAGUGUUGGUCUGAUGUAAUGGCUGAGUAUGUGUAUUCAGUCGGGUUGGUUAAUGAAAUCCCUCACAUUUCAAAGGAAAGUCUCUGAUUUCUGUCUAGGAUGGAUAUUUUCUGUCUACUGUCUAGGGUAGAUAUUGUCCCGUCUACUGUCUAGGGUAGAUAUUAUCCUGUCUACUGUCUAGGGUAGAUAUUUUCCUGUCUGCUGUCUAGGGUAGAUAUUUUCCUGUCUACUGUCUAAGGUAGAUAUUUUCCUGUGUACUGUCUAGGGUAGAUAUUGUCCCGUCUACUGUCUAGGGUAGAUAUUGUCCCGUCUCCUGUCUAGGGUAGAUGUUGUCCUGUCUCCUGUCUAGGGUAGAUACUUUCCUGUCUCCUGUCUAGGGUAGAUACUGUCCCUUCUACUGUCUAGGGUAGAUAUUGUCCCGUCUACUGUCUAGGGUAGAUGUUGUCCUGUCUACUGUCUAGGGUAGAUAUUGUCCUGUCUACUGUCUAGGCUAGAUAUUUUCCUGUCUACUGUCUAAGGUAGAUAUUGUCCCGUCUACUGUCUAGGGUAGAUGUUGUCCUGUCUACUGUCUAGGGUAGAUAUUGUUCUGUCUACUGUCUAGGGUAGAAAUUGUCCCGUCUUCUGUCUAGGGUAGAUAUUGCCCCGUCUACUGUCUAGGGUAGAUAUUGUCCUGUCUACUGUCUAGGGUAGAUAUUGUCCUGUCUACUGUCUAGGGUAGAUACUUUCCCGUCUACUGUCUAGGGUAGAUAUUGUCUUGUCUUCUGUCUAGGGUAGAUAUAGUCUUGUCUACUGUCUAGGGUAGAUAUUGUCCUGUCUACUGUCUAGGGUAGAUAUUUUCACGUCUACUGUCUAGGGUAGAUAUUGUCCCGUCUACUGUCUAGGAUAGAUAUUGUCCCGUCUACUGUCUAGGGUAGAUAUUGUCCUGUCUACUGUCUAGGGUAGAAAUUGUCCCGUCUACUGUCUAGGGUAGAUAUUGCCCCGUCUACUGUCUAGGGUAGAUAUUGUCCUGUCUACUGUCUAGGGUAGAUAUUGUCCUGUCUACUGUCUAGGGUAGAUACUUUCCCGUCUACUGUCUAGGGUAGAUAUAGUCUUGUCUACUGUCUAGGGUAGAUAUUGUCCUGUCUACUGUCUAGGGUAGAUAUUUUCACGUCUACUGUCUAGGGUAGAUAUUGUCCCGUCUACUGUCUAGGAUAGAUAUUGUCCCGUCUACUGUCUAGGGUAGAUAUUGUCCCGUCUACUGUCUAGGGUAGAUAUAGUCUUGUCUACUGUCUAGGGUAGAUAGUGUCCUGUCUACUGUCUAGGGUAGAUAUUGUCCCGUCUACUGUUUAGGGUAGAUAUUGUCUUGUCUACUGUCUAGGGUAGAUAUAGUUUUGUCUACUGUCUAGGGUAGAUAUUAUCCUGUCUACUGUCUAGGGUAGAUAUUGUCCUGUCUACUGUCUAGGGUAGAUAUUGUCCCUGUCUCCUGUCUAGGGUAGAUAUUGUCCUGUUUACUGUCUAGGCUAGAUAUUUUCCUGUCUACUGUCUAGGGUAGAUAUUGUCCUGUCUACUGUCUAGGGUAGAUAUUGUCCUGUCUAGGGUAGAUAUUGUCCUGUCUACUAUAGAUAUUUUCCUGUCUAGGGUAUCAUGUAAGCACAUUAGAAAUUGAACUUCAAAUGAAGCUCUAGUGUAAAUCAUACUGUAAUGAGUUUGAUAAGUGUGAUGUCUUUCUCUUUUUGUAUCAUUUUGUAUUUCAAUCAAAAAUUUUAACAUGUUAUGUCUUUGUGUUGUCCAACCUCUCUAUGGUAAUUUUUGCUUUGUCGGGAGAUCUCCUUCUACAAUUUACAAUCAAUACCCUGUUGAACUGUUGGCUUUAUCACCCUAACAGGUGCAUUUUUUCUGAAUGGCAGUUGGAGUUGACUGUAUUUGGAAGAGUUGCUUCCCCUUGUAUUGAGAUCUCUGUAAUCAAUUUUCAACAACUUUCUGUUACACAAUGAUGGCUUUAUAACCAAUACAUCAAAAAGUGUUUUCCUGGUGGAUUUUUUUAAAACUUGUUCAUACAUUUCUUUUCUCAGUUUUCAACCCACUCUUUAAAUCUUUAAAGCAUUAUAAAUGCUACCCACACUCCUAUCCCCAAUUUGUACUGAAUUAAGCCCAGUGGACAAACACCUUAUCUCUAACUUAAAGUUAGAGAAGGUUUUAUUACAGGACAAUAAGUCCACUGGGCAAACACAUUGCCACUGAUUCAAAGUUAGGGGCCAGCUUAUUACAGGACAAUAAGUCCAAUAAGUCCAAAUGACUGACAGAUUACCUCUGAUUCAGGGGCAGGCUUAUUACUUAAGAAAUACAGCAGAAUUGUCAUGAUAUUAAUCUCAUGGUAGUAUACAGCUUAAAGACAGUGUAUCAAUGGUAAUGUUACUUACAUGAAAUAAGUUAUACAUGUAAUUUAGAGACUUGACAAAGUCAUAUAAAGAAAGUGUUAAUAAGUUAUACAUGUAAUUUAGAGACUUGACAAAGUCAUAUAAAGAAAGUGUUAAUAAGUUAUACAUGUAAUUUAGUGACUUGACAAAGUCAUAUAAAGAAAGUGUUAAUAAGUUAUACAUGUAAUUUAGAGACUUGCCAAAGUCAUAUAAAGAAAGUGUUAAUAAAUUAUACAUGUAAUUUAGAGACUUGACAAAGUCAUAUAAAGAAAGUGUUAAUAAGUUAUACAUGUAAUUUAGAGACUUGACAAAGUCAUAUAAAGAAAGUGUUAAUAAGUUAUACAUGUAAUUUAGAGACUUGACAAAGUCAUAUAAAGAAAGUGUUAAUAAGUUAUACAUGUAAUUUAGAGACUUGACAAAGUCAUAUAAAGAAAGUGUUAAUAAAUUAUACAUGUAAUUUAGAGACUUGACAAAGUCAUAUAAAGAAAGUGUUAAUAAGUUAUACAUGUAGAUCUCUGGGCCUGGAUAUAUCUGAUGAUUCAGGCAUUGCUAUUUCUGAAAAAAAAAUAUGUUAUAACUUUUUAUUCUGUCUUGUACUCCGACCAUAUUCUGCUAUGAACUUUUCAGUAUUGUUUAAGUCACUUUUAUAUAAGACAGUUUUUUGUCUUAUUUUGUUGCUGUCUGUUUUCUGUUCAUAUUAAAUGUGUUAUUGCUAUUGCUCCUGUCAAUAUAGAAUUCUGUGAUAUAUCACAUAUUGAUAAAAGCCUACAGAAACUGCAGCAAAUUCAGCAUGAAAGACACAAAAAUCACAUUUACGUUUAUAGUAAUUAAUCCUUGUGAAGUAUUUUACAUAAAAAAUGUCAUGAUAUUGUUAUUGAUGUAUAAGAUAUGUCCCUUACAAUAAAUAAUUAUCUCAAA